GGGUCGAUGCCCGAGCGGCUAAUGGGGACGGACUGUAAAUUCGUUGGCAAUAUGUGUCUACGCUGGUUCAAAUCCGGCUCGGCCCA
rnacentral:tRNA from 1 species